GUGCCAGCAGCCGCGGUAAGACGGAGGGGGCAAGCGUUGUCCGGAAUCACUGGGCGUAAAGCGCGUGUAGGUGGUCCGGUGCGUCGGCGCUGAAAGCGCCAGGCUUAACCUGGCGAGGCGUGCCGAUACGACCGGACUUGAGGCAGGGAGAGGGUAGCGGAAUUCCGGGUGUAGUGGUGAAAUGCGUAGAGAUCCGGAGGAACGCCAGAGACGAAGGUGGCUACCUGGUCCUGUCCUGACACUGAGACGCGAUAGCGUGGGGAGCAAACCGGAUUAGAUACCCCCGUAGUCC
rnacentral:rRNA from 1 species